UAUUCGCCUGCGAGCAUAGUAAACACACAAAAAGAAGCAGGUAGGGUUUGAGCGGUGGCGCUGCUUACCACCCCUUCAUCGCGCCUACACGCUGGGUUGGAUUCCUCCAGCACAAACAACUGUACGAGUACUCGCUAAUGGCGGACGGUGGAGGUGGUGUUCCUGUCGCAUUUGUGAUUUCACACUAAAUAGGAAGGAAUCGGCGCUGGAUUGUUACACAACUGUUGCACCAGUGAAGGAUGUCUGUGUGCCGCCUUGCAUUCAGUUUCUCAGUCAUGGGGGCCUGCUUGCAACACCAGUGGCAAAGCAGUCUUGCAUUGUGCUAUUUGUUCUGGAAGGACACAAGCAUUGAGGAGCCAUUUGACCUUCCACUACACUGAUACAGUAUUUGGUAGGUU